ACUCCCCCUUCCCACGCGCAGCAUGUUGGUUCUCACUGUCUCCCGUCCGCCCCACGCGUGCGGUCCUCAAGUGGCUGUGCCGCCCCGCACGCCUUCCCUGCGUCUGUCGUUCCCUCCCAGAGCAUGCCGAGCCACACCCACCCAGAGUCAAGCUCCCGAAGCACCCCCACCCACCCCCCCAAAAAACUCCAUGGUUUGUCACCCACUAGGAGGGAGGGGGAAACUGAGGCCCAGGAGAGCCUUGCCGCCUCUCCGUGAGGACCCAGGAGCCCCGCCCACAGUGGGUGGGGUCGGCACUGAAAGGGUUAAGCCCGCGGGGAAGUCUGGGGCUCCAAGCCUGGGGGCGGAUCCUGGGGCUUCCUCCCUCUAGGUCCAGGGCGGCGGCUGCUGAGGAGGUAGCUGAUGCAGGUUUCCAUCCCUGGGGCAUGAUCAUGCAGCUGGGCCUGGCCCUGGUGCUCGGAGUGGCCCUGUGCCUGGGGUUUGGCCAGCCCCUGCUUUGGGCUCCUGAACGCCCCUUCUCUGUGCUGUGGAACAUACCCUCAGCACACUGUAAGACUCGCUUUGGCGUGCACCUGCCGCUAGAGGCCCUGGGCAUCACAGCCAACCGUGGCCAGCGUUUCCAUGGCCAGAACAUCACCAUCUUCUACAAGAACCAGCUCGGCCUCUAUCCCUACCUUGGGCCCAGGGGCACAGCUCACAAUGGGGGCAUCCCCCAGGUUGUCCCUCUUGACCGCCACCUGGCACGGGCUGCCUACCAGAUCCACCACAGCCUAGGACGUGGCUUCGCUGGCCUGGCAGUGCUAGACUGGGAGGAAUGGAGCCCACUCUGGGCUGGGAACUGGGGCCGCCGCCGAGCCUAUCAGGCAGCCUCAUGGGCUUGGGCACAGCGGAUAUUCCCCGACCUGAGCCCCCAGGAGCAGCUCCACAAGGCCCAUGCUGGCUUUGAACAGGCAGCCCGGGCCCUGAUGGAGGACACAUUGCGACUGGGCCAGGCACUGCAACCCCAUGGGCUCUGGGGCUUCUACCGCUUCCCAGCCUGUAGCAAUGGCUGGCAUGGUAUGGCUUCCAAUUACACUGGCCACUGCCACCCAGCCGCUCUUGCCCGCAACACCCAACUUCAUUGGCUCUGGGCUGCCUCCAGCGCCCUCUUUCCUAGCAUCUACCUCCCACCCAGUCUGCCGCCUAUCUACCACCAGGCAUUUGUCCGAUACCGCCUGGAGGAGGCCUUCCGUGUGGCCUCCGUUGGGCAUCCACAGCCCUUGCCUGUCCUGGCCUAUGCCCGCCUCACACACCGGAGCUCUGGGAGGUUCCUGUCUCAGGAUGACCUUGUGCAGACCAUUGGUGUGAGCGCAGCACUCGGGGCAGCCGGCGUGGUGCUCUGGGGGGACCUAAGCUUCUCCAGCUCUGAGGAGGAGUGCUGGCAUCUCCAUGACUACCUAGUGGGCACCCUGGGCCCCUAUGUAAUCAACGUGACCAGGGCAGCCAUAGCCUGCAGUCACCGGCAGUGCCACGGCCAUGGGCGCUGUGCCUGGCAAGAUGGAGGACAGCUGGAAGCCUUUCUGCACCUGCAGCCAGAUGGCAGCCCUGGAGCCUGGGAGUCCUUUAGCUGCCGUUGUUACCCAGGCUGGGCUGGCCCUACCUGCCAGGAGCCCAGGCCUGAGCCCAGGCCUGAAGAAGCAGCAUAAAGCCAGAAGUUACCUGUCCCUGAGUCUCUUGUCCCUGCUGCCAUUUUUCCAGUCCUGGAGGGAGGACUCUGUCUCGCUCUUGUUCUAUUCAGUUUAUAGUCAGUCCUCCUAUACACACCCCCCACUUCCCAUGGGACCCCUGGGAAGUGGAAGGGGCCAGAAAAAAAGGUUUACACCUUUUUAUUUUAUUAUUAUUUUGCUUACACCAUUUUAAAACCAAAGGUCCUCUGAGAUCACUUGAUCCCUUCUGAUAAGGAAGCAGCCCUGGGGAGAGUCACCGUUCCAGAUGGUUAGUGUUGCCAGCCCAGAGCUCUGUUCCACCUCCUCACUGGGUCCAUGGAGAGGUCACAGGAGACCCGUCCAGGGACAGGUUUGACUGUUCACCCAGCUCUACCAAGCCCCACGCUCUUCCUGUCGCGAAUGUCCAGCCUCCGUGCCAAGAAAUGCCGGUCCUGCCUGCCGUGGUAGGCUGCUCCAAGGCGGCAGCUUCAGAGUUUAACUACCGUGCAGGGAUGCACAUGUAACGGGGGGCGGGGGGGGGGGGGGCGGCGUGUGCGCAGGGCAUUGUGGGUACAUAGUUCAGCUAGAACGUCGUAGGCUUUGG